rnacentral:rRNA from 1 species
GCGGAGGAAAAGAAACUACCAAGGAUUCCCUUAGUAACGGCGAGUGANGCGGGAACNGCUCAANUUUUAAAUCUGGCUGCUUCGCAGUCCGAGUUGUAAUUUGAAGGCGUCUGUCGCAUGUGAGACGAUGGCACAAGUCCUCUGGAACGUGGCAUCGUAGAGGGUGAGAAUCCCGUCUCUGGUCGUUGUCUUGCAGGCACACGGCAGGCGAUCCGAAGAGUCGAGUUGUUUGGGAUUGCAGCUCCAAAUGGGUGGUAAACUCCAUCUAAGGCUAAAUAUUGGCGAGAGACCGAUAGCGAACAAGUACCGUGAGGGAAAGAUGAAAAGAACUUUGAAAAGAGAGUAAAACAGUACGUGAAAUUGUUGAAAGGGAAACGCUUGAAGUCAGUCGUGCCGGCGGGGAUUCAGCGAACUUCGCGGAGUGAGCGUAUUUCCUCGCAUGGCAGGUCAGCGUCAGUUUUGCGCGUCGUGAAAGGGCUCGGGUAAGGUGACUCUCUUCGGGGAGUGUUAUAGGCCUGAGCAGAUGCGAUGCGCGGGACUGAGGAUUGCAGCGGACACCCUUCGGGGCGCGGCGACCGAUCCCUGCUCUGUCACCUUCGUCCGAUAGCGUGCUAACGGUCGGGGGAGCGGCGGUUGCACCGGKUGGCMAGCCSGCGGCUYSCCUUAAGAUGCUGGCGUAAUGGCUUUUAA